rnacentral:pre_miRNA from 1 species
AGUAAGAUCAUCUUUUAAUUUUUUAUACAAUUUUGACUCUUCGUGUUAUUUGAAAUUUUUUUAAUUAAUAUUUUCUUUCUUACUAGAUGAUAAAACAUAAAUAGUACUUUAUGCGUGACUAAUUUUUUAAAGUUUUUUAUAAAUUUUUAAAUAAGACGAAUGGUCAAAUGUUGGACACGUAAAAACGG